UCCUACGGGACGCAGCAGUGGGGAAUAUUGCACAAUGGGGGAAACCCUGAUGCAGCAACGCCGCGUGGGUGAAGAAGUAUUUCGGUAUGUAAAGCCCUAUCAGCAGGGAAGAGAAUGACGGUACCUGACUAAGAAGCCCCGGCUAACUACGUGCCAGCAGCCGCGGUAAUACGUAGGGGGCAAGCGUUAUCCGGAUUUACUGGGUGUAAAGGGAGCGUAGACGGUUGUGCAAGUCUGAAGUGAAAGGCAGGGGCUUAACCCCUGAACUGCUUGGAAAAUGGC
rnacentral:rRNA from 1 species